rnacentral:lncRNA from 1 species
GGAGAGGGCUGGCUGCGGGCUGGGCAGAGAAAGAGGCUUUGAGACUCCCGAGCAACUUUAUAAUGCAGGAGAAAAGUUAGCCUUUUAAAUGAGGUUAAGUACCCCGAGAGUGAUGGUAAAUAGAACAGGCAGCUCUUUAAGUGGAAAUAAAGUGCUUUCAGUACCGUCAUAAAGCUGCAAAACGCAGCUUAGCUGGGAGAAGUGGAUUUCACGUGGGAGAGAGAGCAAAUUAGAAUGCAGGCUCAAGAGCGAUUUAAGAGGGGCCCUUCAACCACGGAAAGAAAGGGAGAGGGAGAAGGGAGGAGAAAGAGAGAGUCUGAUUGAUUGAUUAUGGCCAACUGUGAGAAGCAGAAUUCCACACUGAGGUCUGGCAGCACCCUAACAGGCACUUCUGCUCUCCCCCCACGAUGUGCCCACCCCACCUCUUGCAGCCGAGCAAUGCAACCUCAAUAGGAAAACAAUCUGACUUCAGUGCAAUUUCACUCCUAAGGAUUUUCCACAUAUUUAAAGAUGCUUUGCAUAUUUUUUUUCUAAAAUCCCCCAUGAGACUCUACAGUAUGUUCCUGAAUUCUUUUUAACCUCUUAACUUGUCAAAAGAGCAUUUCAAACCCUAGAUCUCAGGGGUCCCUGCCAGGCAUUUUCAAGUUUGAUUUUUGUGGGGAGGACAUCAACAAGUUAAAACCUAAAUGAGCAACAAAAACCCAAACCCCAAAGAGGCUGAAUUGAAGUUACAUUCUGUCUCCCGCUGCAGCGAGGUGACGUGCGUUAUCAGUUUUGUCUUCCAUGUCUUCCUCAUCCUGCUGUUUGCUCCACGGCUCUUGACAGGAUGGAGACGAGGAAAGAACUUCCACAUCCACAUUCAAAACGUCUGCCAGAACUCCCUCAGGCAAGAUUUUUAUGUGUAUGGUCAUUUCAAGUGAAUUUUGUAUACAGAGCAAGGCGAUUACUUUAAAACAUGAAAGAAAUUGCACCUUUUCCUUAAGGGCAAGAUGGUGCUGUGGGCUUUCCUCUCUCCUGAUGAGAUGAUGCAAAUGGACUCCAUAGAGAAACGCUGCCCGUGUAACAAUGCAGUUACGCAACCCGGUGCAUGACACAUGAAUUGCAGCGCACCUGAGAUCCUGAUGAAAUCCUGGGAGCCUGGAGCUGUCAAACAUGGUUUUAAAAAAUAAAGGGAAUACACCCAGCCCACACCCUGACUUUACAACCUUUAAUUAAUUAGAGGAAAGAAAGAGAGAUUUGUCUGGUUUCAUGACUUCAACUUUCCACCUGGAAUAUGAAGCUCCUGCUCUUCCCACCUCCUUUUCUUCUCUCUCUCUCUCUCAGGUUUUUAAAUUUCUAUUUCCAGUUCUGCCACCAAAAAUAGAUUGCAAAUAUAUUCUGCAUAAUUCCGAGGCUACACUAUAAAUGUUGGAGUGCUACUACUUGUAUAAUAGUCACAAAUGA